rnacentral:rRNA from 1 species
UACGUAGGGUGCAAGCGUUAAUCGGAAUUACUGGGCGUAAAGCGUGCGCAGGCGGUGAUGUAAGACAGAUGUGAAAUCCCCGGGCUCAACCUGGGAACUGCAUUUGUGACUGCAUCGCUGGAGUGCGGCAGAGGGGGAUGGAAUUCCGCGUGUAGCAGUGAAAUGCGUAGAUAUGCGGAGGAACACCGAUGGCGAAGGCAAUCCCCUGGGCCUGCACUGACGCUCAUGUACGAAAGCGUGGGGAGCAAACAGG